rnacentral:rRNA from 1 species
UACAGAGGUCUCAAGCGUUGUUCGGAUUCAUUGGGCGUAAAGGGUGCGUAGGUGGCGCUGUAAGUCGGGUGUGAAAUUUCGGAGCUUAACUCCGAAACUGCAUUCGAUACUGCGGUGCUUGAGGACUGGAGAGGAGACUGGAAUUCAUGGUGUAGCAGUGAAAUGCGUAGAGAUCAUGAGGAAGACCAGUGGCGAAGGCGGGUCUCUGGACAGUUCCUGACACUGAGGCACGAAGGCCAGGGGAGCAAAACGGGG